AUUGAACGCUGGCGGCAGGCCUAACACAUGCAAGUCGAGCGGCAGCGGGAAAGUAGCUUGCUACUUUUGCCGGCGAGCGGCGGACGGGUGAGUAAUGCCUGGGAAAUUGCCCAGUCGAGGGGGAUAACAGUUGGAAACGACUGCUAAUACCGCAUACGCCCUACGGGGGAAAGCAGGGGACCUUCGGGCCUUGCGCGAUUGGACAUGCCCAGGUGGGAUUAGCUAGUUGGUGAGGUAAUGGCUCACCAAGGCGACGAUCCCUAGCUGGUCUGAGAGGAUGAUCAGCCACACUGGAACUGGGACACGGUCCAGACUCCUACGGGAGGCAGCAGUGGGGAAUAUUGCACAAUGGGGGAAACCCUGAUGCAGCCAUGCCGCGUGUGUGAAGAAGGCCUUCGGGUUGUAAAGCACUUUCAGCGAGGAGGAAAGGUUGAUGCCUAAUACGUAUCAACUGUGACGUUACUCGCAGAAGAAGCACCGGCUAACUCCGUGCCAGCAGCCGCCGCCGUAA
rnacentral:rRNA from 1 species